AAAUUCAGAGAAAGAAAGAAACAAAGACUGUAUAAACAGCAGAGCUUGAAUGAUAUUGCAAAUGCAAGCUUCAAUAUGGAGCAAAGUGUCUCAAGGGCUCAGACUGCAGGUAAUGAGAGAGCAUUUCUGCUCCUCUUCUUCAUUCCAGCCAAACUAAACAGAUUCCAGAGUUCAGUGUGAGGCAAACACAGGCUCUCUCAGUGAGGAGUAACUGACAUUGAACAAGGAGAGUUUUUUUCAUGAAACAAACAAGAGACACCAGCAGUGUUGGGCAGCAACUGAAGUAUCAACACUCACUCGAUUAUUCAAACUUCUAAUUGAUAUGAUAUGGUUUAAUGUUUGUACAUGCACAGUUUUUAACAUACAAUAAUAUACAGUAAUGUAUGCAGUAUGUCUGUUCUGUGAGAUUAUUGACACUAUCUUAGAAAAGCUAUCAUUUAUGAUAAAAAGGUGCAGUCAGUAGUUUGGUGCUAAUUUAAAAUGUUUUACCUAUUAAUAAAUGAUUAGUGU